UAGGGAAUAUUGCUCAAUGGGAGAAAUCCUGAAGCAGCAACGCCGCGUGGAGGAUGAAGGGUCUAUGACUUGUAAACUCCUGUAAAGAAGGAAAAAAUUCCCAUUUGAUGGGAGAUGAUGGUACUUCUGGAGUAAGCCCCGGCUAACUACGUGCCAGCAGCCGCGGUAAUACGUAGGGGGCAAGCGUUGUCCGGAUUUACUGGGUGUAAAGGGUGCUCAGGCGGAUUUGUAAGUCAGAGGUGAAAUCUUACAGCUUAACUGUGAAACUGCCUUUGAUACUGCAAGCCUAGAGUAUGGAAGAGAGUGAUGGAAUAUCUGGUGUAGCAGUGAAAUGCGUAGAUAUCAGAUAGAACACCAAUGGCGAAGGCAGUCACUUGGUCCAUUACUGACGCUAAAGCACGAAAGCGUGGGUAGCAAACA
rnacentral:rRNA from 1 species